rnacentral:lncRNA from 1 species
GGCCAAUCACAGCCAUGCCAUUAGUAGGCAUGGCUGUGAUGGCUUCUAAGGGCACACGAGUCAAACGCUUGUUGAUUAGCUGCUCUGCAGCCUUUCAAAACGCGCCAUUAUAUCUCUGAACACCGAACUCCAACCUGAACAUACGGUGAUUUGCCUGUGUUCGGAUCCGGGGACCUAAUGUUCGGUACGAACCUGAACUUUACAGUCCGGGUUUGCUCAACUCUAUUUAAUAUGCAAUAAUUUCAAAUCAUUUACAGAUUACGUGAUGCAAAUCUGUGUAAGAAACACCUUAACGUGUGCUGUAUUUACUUUUAUUGCAGAAGAUCUUAUUGGCACUUGCUGUAGCCCUUUCCGUAUCAGUUGCCCUUUCGAGUGCUGCGUGCUCUUUUAAAAAACUGACAUUAAAUGUUAAAACAAGAUCUGCAGGUAAGACAUGUAUAUGUAAAUGUAAGGUUUUUAUAGUUUCUCACAUUUGCCCUUUCAGGUGGAGGGUGGCAAGUGAAGAAGAGGCAAUUGCCCUGGAUCACUAGCUUACGAGGCUUGUGGACAAGGGAGUUGAUAGAUGGCAAAAAGACCUGUGGCUUCUCCAGUAAUACAUGGAUCAUUCUAUGAAGUCAAUGAACAUGUAUACAGUCAGGUUUACUCUAGAUUACUGCAGUAAUAAAUGGAUGGUGCUAUUAAAAACAUCUGAAAUAUUUACUUUUUCAACAAAUUAAAUAAACACGAAUGUUUAUAAAUAUUUAUUAUUUUAGUAUGCACGAAAGAUGGAGAAGUUCAUGAAAUUGGUGACGAAUGGAAGGGUCCAAGCUGUGAGAAGUGCAGUUGUAGUAACAAUGGAAUGCAGUGCUGUUCUACGUAAGUAUUAUCUCUGUAUGAAUUUUAAGCAAAAAAAAGACAUUUUACCUUACUUGAAGGGACCCUCAAGGCACCAUAACCACUAUACAAUGGUGCACUUGUUAUGGUGCCAAAAGUCUUCAAACUCCAUCUGUCACUAAUAUGUCAAACUGUUUAUGAAUGGUUUCACACUUAGCUUGCGGUGUCAGGCCCUUAUGGUCCUUCCAGUCUAAGAUGGACUGAUAAAGCAGAAGUUCAAUCUCCUAGGUUAUCAUGCAACUAGUUAAUUUUCCCAGAUUAUCAUGCACCUCAUACCAGGUUUAAAAGGUUUUUCCUGGCUGAGAGCCAUCAGCUAAUAUUCUCCAAUGAAAACUCUCUAAACACCAUGAACUUCAGCCUUGUAAGGCCAACUCAGAACGGAAGGGCUGUGGGCACCUGACACAGCAAGGUAAAUGUUAAACCGUUCAUAAGCAUUUUGAUAGAUAAGGGACUGGAGACUCCUGGCACCAACUCAAAAAUAUUUAUUUCUGAGUAGAUAAUUAAAAGAAAAAAAAUGAAAUAUGCCUCUUGCCUAUCCUAUCCCUAUUAUUUAGUAAUGACAUAUUUUGCUGUAAUUACAGAGUUAUGUAUAAUCCAGUCGUGCAAAAACUGUUUGUGAUAUAUUUGCCCAUUUUUCUUAGCAGGUUUGCUCCAGCUGGUUUAAGUUGGUUGGUUGCUGCUUGUAGACUACAUUUUUCAAAUCGGCCACAAUGUCUCAGUAGAAAAGAUAAGGACCUUGACUAGACCACUGCAGGAUAUUCACAUUUUUAAACACAAUUUAGCCUCUAUUUCUUUCAAACACACUCUAAAGCCCCUAUCCACCGAAAGUCUCUUUUUACAUGCACACGCAACCCCCCAGCAGCAUCCUUCCAACAAAUGCAACCCUAUAUGUGACCUCCCUUCACACAUUCAAAACCAUAAGAAGACUUCCCCCACACAUGCAACUCUAGAAAGAGCCUCCCAUACCCAGAAACCCACAGGCAGCACACACAGAACUCCACAAGGAGCAUCCUCCACACUACAAGCUGUCACCCCGUACACAACCAAUCCCACAUGAAACACCAUGAGCAGCUUCCUGACAUGCACAAAACCACACAAGCAGCCAUAACACACAAAUUUACAUACAAGAAUAUCUCGUAGUCCAGUCUCACUUUUGUAAUCUGGUAUCCCACUUAUCUGGACACCAGAGCCAGGUCACCAGCAAACGCAGAAAAAAAUGUGUCAUUAGGUUUUCUUGUGUUGUGUGAAAAAACAUAGCAAAUUUUCCCCAUGUGAGACACUGUGCAUGGGCUGUCCUGGAGGUGCCCUGAACUGACAUAACACUUUGCCCUGCCCCUGUUAUUGGGCAGCUCUGUAUUUUAAUGUCUGGGAUAAAUGUCUGGGAUAAACUUUUGUCCCAGUCUAGCCCUAUUUACAAGGCAUGUAAAGUUUAUAAGAAGAAAAAAGAUACCAAAAGACUACAACGGUAUAUAAUGCCAGGAGAACAAUACCAGAGCUGUCCUGGGAAUAGCCCUUCUGUGAAUAAAAUUCAAAAUUGAACAAAAAAAGAAACUGUUACCAGAGAAAAUACGGAGAAGUAUACAACUGGUAUUGUAAUAAAGAUUAUCAUGAGUAUUAAAAAAAAAAAAAAUCUAAUUGGACAAACUAAUAUAUAGUAACUGUAUUCACACCCAGAGUUAGUACAUCGAUCUUAUCCUGUCUAGAAACCCCCUGAACUGAAAAAGGGGAAUAUCGGCAUUUCCUUUGCUACCAGUUUCUACUUUUGUUAAGUUUUGACAUAUAGUUUAUGUAUACUACUGGACUAUAACAGUCUGUUAAAUAAUUAAGCACCUUUAAUUCUCUAAACAAAAUAUAAUUUUAAUAUUUAUGGCAAAUUGAUGCAUACUUAUUGCAAUCUGUAUUUUGGUUCUGACUUCUAUAGAUCUAGAGGAGUGAGAGUUGAGGAUUAUUCAAUCAAAUCCUCAGCUACUGCUUUAUAUGUCAAGGCAUUUACUUUUCAUCCGAUUCUCACAGCAACCCAAAGUUGUAAAGAAUUAAUUCCCAUUGACUUUACUGAGAAUUAAAAUGGGAUGCUAAAGCGUAUGUGGUGGUUGGAGGGUGACUAUCAUGGCAGCUUCCAAAGGAUGUACCAUUCAUCCUGGCUUUACCUCAAGUGAAAGAAAGUCAGAUUAACUUGAAAUUUCUCUAUGCUGCACAUUAGUCAAACUCCAGUUCUGAUAACCCAAGUAAUAUCACAUCUUAAGUCGACUCUGGUGAAGUUGGUUCUUGAUAUAUAGACGGGACAGUUACAGUUAUUGUCACAAAUUCUCAUUAAUAAACUAAUAAAUAUUAUUUAACCUAAUCUAAUUUAAAAUGCAAGUUAGCAAUAUAUUUUAUAAAGGCAAGCUUUUAGUGCUACUGUUUGUAUCUGCUUCAUUACUCUUUUUUGAAAAUAUUAUAAUUAUUUUUUCACCAUAACAGCUCAAGAAGACCUCAAAACUUUGAUAAGGAGGAAUGCAAAAUGAUUUUUAAUAAAGAAAGCUGCAAUUAUGAGGUGGUGAGAAAGGAUGACUCAUCACAAGAAUGCAAGGUCACGUCAUAUGUUUUGGGUUAAAACAACACAUUUUGCUACAACCCAAUUCACUCUAAAAAGUUAAUGUUCCAUCUCUACAAGGAGGAGAAAAUUUUUCCUAUUCAAAGAGAAAUUUAAUCUUCUGAUCUUCACAUACAUGCAUCAAUCAAUGAUAUUAAAGUACUCAUGCUAUUGAUGAAAUAAAAAUAUACAUUAAAUCAAGAGAAGUGGAAAUGUUGUGGUGUUCAAAUGUGUACAACUAUAUACUGAACAUUAUGCAGUUAAUUAAAG